rnacentral:rRNA from 1 species
AGUGAACGCUGGCGGUAGGCCUAACACAUGCAAGUCGAACGGCAGCACAGUAAGAGCUUGCUCUUACGGGUGGCGAGUGGCGGACGGGUGUGGAAUACAUCGGACUCUACUUUUUCGUGGGGGAUAACGUAGGGAAACUUACGCUAAUACCGCAUCCGACCUACGGGUGAAAGCAGGGGAUCUUCGGACCUUGCGCGAUUGAAUGAGCCGAUGCCGGAUUAGCUAGUUGGCGGGGUAAAGGCCCACCAAGGCGACGAUCCGUAGCUGGUCUGAGAGGAUGAUCGCCCGCACUGGAGCUGGAACACGGGCCAGACGACUACGGGAGGCAGCAGUGGGGAAUAUUGGACAAUGGGCGCAAGCCUGAUCCAGCCAUACCGCGUGGGUGAAGAAAGCCUUCGGGUUGUAAAGCCCUUUUGUGGGGAAAGAAAAGCAGCAGGUUAAGACCCCGCGGUUCUGACGGUACCCAAAGAAUAAGCACCGGCUAACUUCGUG